UUUCUGAUAUAACAAAAUAAGUUAGUUAGUUGCUGGAUUGAUUAAAACGGAGAGGGAAUUGAAAGUGUGUUUAAAGAAAUCAAAUCAAGCUCAAGGGCGCCCAAAUUAAUCCCAAAUUCUUUCUGAGACAAAUGAAGAAAAGUUGCAGUGAAAACGACGAUUGAUUGGGGAAUUUCGUCGAACUCAUGGCGGCGAAGCAGUUGAUCAUAGCUGUCGAAGGCACUGCCGCCACUGGGCCCUUCUGGCAGACUAUCUUCUCCGACUACUUGGACAAGAUCAUUCGAUGUUUCUGUGGGGAUGAUUCCAUAGAUAAGGAGACAUCAACCCCACAAGUGGAGCUAUCACUGGUUGUGUUCACCGUUCAUGGUCCAUACAGUGCUUGCCUUGUACGGCGGACUGGUUGGACUAGGAACAUGGACUUGUUGCUGCACUGGCUCUCAGUCAUACCUUUUGCAGGUGGUGGUUUCAGUGAUGCCGCAAUUGCUGAAGGGCUAGCUGAAGCUUUAAUGAUGUUCUCUAUCUCAAAUGGAAACCAAAAUCAGAAUAUGGAGUCACAAAGACAUUGUAUUCUUAUUGCUGCAAGCAACCCUUACCCAUUGCCAACACCUGUAUAUGGAUCACAAUCCCAGCGUACAAAGCAGAGCGACAACACUGAAACACCAACAGAUAAUCGCCUAUUUGAUGCAGAAGCAGUAGCAAAAUCAUUCACCCAGUCUGCUAUCUCUCUAUCUGUUAUUUGUCCAAGGAAGCUACCCAAACUUGGAGCUAUCUACAAUGCAGGAAAGAACAAUCCACGAGCCACAGAUCCACCGCCAGAUAAUGUUAAAAAUCCUCACUUCCUUGUCCUCAUCUCAGAUAAUUUUGUGGAGGCUCGCAUUGCCUUAACUAGGUCCGGGUUGUUAAAUUUUCCAUCAAAUCAAAACCCCGUGAAGAUGGAUGUGACACCAACUGGUCCUGCUCCUUUGAUGUCUGGACCACUUCCAUCAGCUAUUGCUAAGCCUGCUUCUCAAACUGUUGCAAGCUUACAAACUUCUUCACCAAUAUCAACGUCACAGGAAAUGGCUCCAAACACUGAAAAUGCUCAAGAUAUGAAACCUCUUGCAAACAAUACAAUGCCCUCCUUGCAUCCAGUUGGAGGUGCAGAAGCAAAUGUGAGAAUUUUGAAUGACGUGGCACAAGCAAGUCAAGUCCUAGCUAAUGGAACCUCUAUUGCGCUUCCUUCUAUGGGUGGUACGCCUAUGCUAUCAAAUAUGAUGUCUAAUGGAAUGACGUCGUCAGUGCCUUCAGCUCAAAUUGUAAUGUCAUCUGGUCCAUCAGCUGUCGCAUCAAUUACCCAAUCAUUGCCAACACCCGCUGCCACCAAACAAAUGGCACAGAUAGGAACGGGUAUGAAUCAGAACAUGAUGAGUGGUGGAGGUACGUCUGGUAUUUCUUCUGGAAAUGACAGCAUGAUGCGUACUCCAGGAAUGUCGCAACCGAUGCAACCAGGAAUGGAGCCUGUUGGGGUGAAUGGUUCUGUGGUAAAUAUGCCCAUCAAUCAGCAGACAUCGAGUACAAUGCCGCCAUCACAACCAAUACAAGUUAUAUUCUGGGAGGGAAACUUAUCAGGACAGCGUCAAGGCAAGCCUGUUUUCAUCACUAGACUGGUGGGAUACAGGAAGUCCUCAGCUUCUGAGACGCUUGGUGCAAAUUGGCCUCCGACAUUGCAGAUGGUUCGCCUGAUAACCCAGGACCAGAUGAGAAACAAGCAAUACGCUGGAAAGGGUGAUUUUCUAGUUUUUCGUGCAAUGGAUCAGCAUGGAUUUCUUGAUCAGCUUAAAGAUAAGAAACUUUUGGAUGGAACUCGUAGUGUGCAGUAAUACAGUUACCAUCCCAGACACUGUUUGUCACACAUUCCUAUAAAGAAUUGCACCUGAUUGGAAAGCUUUACCCCGGGAUAUGGUAGUGUUUAAGCCACAAAUGACAAAUCCUCAGCAACUUCAAAUAUGAUGCAGCAGCAGCAACAACCACAAUUUCAGCAACAGCAGCCCAUUGGGCAAAUUCAUCAGCAGCAACGACCCCUCAUGGCGCAUCAGCAAUAACAACAACCUCUUAUGCAGUCGCAUCAGCCUAGCAUUAAAAUCCUCAAAUGCAACAAUAGAUGGUUGGUACGGGUAUGAAUCAAGGGUAUGUGCAAUGUGACGGACUAUCCCAGUUACAGUCCCAAGAAACAGGUUUCGUUAGAAGGAGCUCUGAACAUGCUGGCAGGAAAUUUCCUGAGUUAACAUUUCAUAUUUGCUAUUAACCUGUAGACGGUAGGGUCACAAAUCUUGGUAACUCAUGCAAGGAAAUUACAUACUCCUUGACAUGGUUUUAGUUUUGAACUUGCUUUUGCUGCUGCUGCUGCUGCAACUUGUAGGCAAUCUGACGUGUAGUCGUAGAGGGUUUGUUUUACAUUUUUGUCUUGCUGUUAUUACAAUGUGAUAUGGGUUCGUUUUCAAAUCCACAUUAUACAAAUGGGCAUAAUUUCACUUGUAUAUCAACAAGUCGCUUUUUUUCUUUUUUAUCU